GAACGAGAAAGUGGAGCAAUCCAUGAGUACAGUGGCGUACGGGUGAGUAACACGUGACUAACCUACCCUCGAGUGGGGAAUAACCUCGGGAAACCGGGGCUAAUACCGCAUAACAUCUACGGAUCAAAUGCGCAAGCAGCUUGAGGAGGGGGUCGCGGCCGAUUAGCUAGUUGGCGGGGUAAUGGCCCACCAAGGCAAUGAUCGGUAGCCGGCCUGAGAGGGCGCACGGCCACACUGGAACUGAAACACGGUCCAGACUCCUACGGGAGGCAGCAGUGGGGAAUUUUGCGCAAUGGGGGAAACCCUGACGCAGCAACGCCGCGUGGAGGAUGAAGCCCCUUGGGGUGUAAACUCCUUUCGAUCGGGACGAUUAUGACGGUACCGGAUGAAGAAGCACCGGCUAACUCUGUG
rnacentral:rRNA from 1 species